rnacentral:rRNA from 1 species
AUGGCGAGUCCUCGCGGUCUGGCAGGGCUCCUCUGCUUCGCCCUCGCGGCCGCGGCAGCGAGCGCGGCGCAGUACCGGGUCGGCGAGCAGCGGGGCUGGAGCGUGCCGGCGGCCGGCGCCGAGCCGCUGAACACGUGGUCGUCGAGGAUGCGGUUCAUCAUCGGCGACCAGCUCCUGUUCGUGUACCCCAAGGACACGGACUCGGUGCUGCUGGUGGACCAGGCGGCGUACAACGCGUGCAACACCACGACCUACGUGAGCAAGUUCCAGGGCGGCAGCACCGUCUUCACGCUCGACCGCUCCGGCCCCUUCUUCUUCAUCAGCGGCAACGAGGCCAGCUGCAAGGCCGAGCAGAAGCUCAUCGUCGUCGUGCUCUCCGUCGACCACACGCCGCCGGGCCUCCUGCCGCCGCCCCCUCCCCCCUCCAUGCCGCCGUCGUCCGCGCCGCCCAUGCCCAGCCCGACGUCGCCUCCUUCCAUGACGCCGCCGUCCGCCGCGCCGAUGCCCAGCCCGAUGUCGCCGCCUUCCAUGACACCGCCGUCCGCCGCGCCGAUGCCCAGCCCGAUGUCUCCUCCUUCCAUGAUGCCGCCGUCCGCCGCGCCGAUGCCAAGCCCGAUGUUUCCUCCUUCCAUGACACCGCCGGCCGCCGCGCCGAUGCCCACCCCGAUGUUCCCCCCUUCCAUGACACCGCCGUCCGCCGCACCGAUGCCGAGCCCGAUGUCUCCGGCGGCUGCACCCGGGGCAACCCCGGACUCGCCACAAUCGCCGACUGGUCCAGCGCCGUCGCCGGGUACACCGGGAGGCGGAUCAUCGCCGGGCACCCCUGGAUCCGACGCGAGCAGCCCGCCGGCGCCGGGCGCUGACGGGGCCAACUCGACCACGCCGGGGAGCGCGGCUGCUCCGGUGACGGCAGGCCUGAUCGGCACGCUUGCAGCAGGCAUCGGCUACGCCAUGCUCGCUAUCUGA